CAGAUGGCGAAGGCUGCCCGCGGCCCAGAAGAGAGAGGAGCCUGCAGACCCGCGCGGAAACUCUGCUGCGGGACCUGGAGGCCAAGGUCGUAAUAAGGAGAAAUUCGAUGACCAGCAAGGCUGGAGUCCCAUCGUCUUGUUGGGGGAGAGGGGGGAGAAGAAAAAGGUGCCUGUAACUUCAGACUGUCCAAGAUAUCGCUUAGCUCCUGCGCCCGGAAGAAAAUCCAGCGCAGGUCGGGUUCCGGCGCGCGGAAGCCCUGCGAACCCCAAAUGUGUGCGCUGAGCCGAGGCCUCUAAGCGGUAGGAGAGAAUCUGACCUCCGACAUUCUUUUCAAGACACGCGCCGGUGGACCGGGUCCUGGGAUUGGCUUACUCCCGGGCUGGACCUUGGGGUUCGCAUAUUUGAAAGCGUAAACUUGAGGAAUGACGGCGGGGUGAUGGGUAUUUUAUAGAGUGGGACUCAAUCGUGCUCAGCAACAGAUUUCUCCAAAUUCCCUUUUAAAAAGAGCCUCCCAGAGCUGUCGAAAUCUCCGCGGGGUGAAAGCUAAACUUUUGGAGUCGCUGUGUAGCCGGGUAGAGGACACGGCGGCGCGAGCCGGAAAGGCAGGUUUAAUUCGGAAAGAAGAGACUGCAGAGGAGAGGGAAGACCGUGAGUCUGCUUUCACCUAGGUUUAAAGCGAAUCAAAGACGGCUGUAAAAAGGGAAACCGGGACCAAAAACAGAUUUGGAGCCUCGAAACUCUCCAUUGAAGGUUUGGAAGAUACGUUGCUGCAGACUUGAAACCGGCUCCAAAUCCGGCCCAAACAUGGGCUGAAAAUAUGGCGCGCUAAUCUGCUGCUUCCCCUCCUCCUCAAGUUCUUUCUGACUCUUCCCACCUUUCCCAGUUUCCCUUCCAGACGUCUGCGGCUCCCCACUCCACCCCCAGGAUAGCUACUCUACAUCCCGACAAUUCCCAGCUUCUACACCCAGGAGGAGGAAUUCUGGAACCACCCAGAGCGAACUCGUGCCGGGGCGGGGUGGGGACCGGAGGAAGGUCCUGCUCCGAAUUCUCUCCAGAGCAGAAAAGAAUUCUAGAGGCUACAUGUGGGCUGCUUUCCCCCCUUCUUCCUUUUUUCCCUCGCAAACCAACAACCAAAAAGUGUUUGGUGAUGGAAAGAACACCAGUGGAAAACGGCAAAUAACAGUAUUUCCAACUCCGAGUCAGGUCCUCUUUGCACUGCUUUUUCCUGUUUCAUUGCAAUUUAUUGAUUUUAUUGUGGUUUUUUGUUUAUUUGGGGCAAGAACGGAGAUGUGAACCAGGACGAGCCAGCAGACCCCCGAGCCAGUAUCUCCUCCCUGGGCAGGGAACACCGCCUGCACCGGUGCAUACUAGGAGACCCUGGCGGAGAAUGUAAACAAACCGGGCGCCGAGCCCUUGAUCUUUAUUUAAAUAGAGGCUUGUUUAUCGGUGUCAUCCUAGGAGGAUUAAUUAGAUACAUCUCUUCACAAUUUGGUGUCUGACACUCCAUCUUAGGAAUGCCUUAUCAUAAGGUGUUAAUUGGGGCCACUCAGCCACUUACGUUUCUAUUAAAC
rnacentral:lncRNA from 1 species